rnacentral:rRNA from 1 species
GUUUCAGCCGCCGCGGUAAUACAGAGGGGGCAAGCGUUGUUCGGAAUCACUGGGUGUAAAGGGUGCGUAGGCGGUCCGUUAAGUCUGAUGUGAAAGCCCUGGGCUCAACUCAGGAAUGGCAUUGGAAACUGGCGGGCUUGGAGUACUGGAGAGGGAAGCGGAAUUCCUGGUGUAGCGGUGAAAUGCGUAGAUACCAGGAGGAACACCGGUGGCGAAGGCGGCUUCCUGGCCAAGUACUGACGCUGAGGCACGAAAGCGUGGGGAGCGAACGGGAUUAGAAACCCUCGUAGUCC